CUACGGGAUGCUCCAGGCGCGAAACCUCUACAAUGCACGCAAGUGUGAUAGGGGGAUCCCAAGUGCUCAUGCUCUGCAUGGGCUUUUGAUGAGAGUAAAUAUCUCGUCGAAUAAGUGGUGGGUAAGACUGGUGCCAGCAGCCGCGGUAACACCAGCGCCACAAGUGGCAUUCGCAAUUAUUGGGUCUAAAGCGUUCGUAGCCGGACGUGUACAUCUCUUGUGAAAUCGAACCCCUUAAUGGUUCGGACUGCAGGGGACACGGCAUGUCUAGGGACCGGGAGGAGCUAGAGGUAUGCCCUAGGGAGUGGUAAAAUAUGAUAAUCUAGGGUAGACCACCCGUGGCGAAGGCGUCUAGCUAGAACGGAUCCGACGGUGAGGAACGAAGGCCAGGGGAGCGAACCGGAUUAGAUACCCCGGUAGUC
rnacentral:rRNA from 1 species